rnacentral:rRNA from 1 species
ACAAGAAUGACUAGUACGGCGAGUGAGCGGCACAGCUCAAAUUUGAAAGCUGGCCUUCGGGUCCGCAUUGUAAUUUGUAGAGGAUGCUUUGGGUGAAACGCCAGUCUAAGUUCCUUGGAACAGGACGUCAUAGAGGGUGAGAAUCCCGUAUGUGACUGGAAAUGUUAACCUAUGUAAAGCUCCUUCGACGAGUCGAGUUGUUUGGGAAUGCAGCUCUAAAUGGGAGGUAAAUUUCUUCUAAAGCUAAAUAUUGGCGAGAGACCGAUAGCGCACAAGUAGAGUGAUCGAAAGAUGAAAAGCACUUUGGAAAGAGAGUUAAAAAGCACGUGAAAUUGUUGAAAGGGAAGCGCUUGCAAUCAGACUUGUUUAAACUGUUCGGCCGGUCUUCUGACCGGUUUACUCAGUUUGGACAGGCCAGCAUCAGUUUCGGCGGCCGGAUAAAGGCUCUGGGAAUGUGGCCUUCACUUCGGUGAAGGUGUUAUAGCCCAGGGUGUAAUACGGCCAGCCGGGACUGAGGUCCGCGCUUCGGCUAGGAUGCUGGCGUAAUGGUUGUAAGCGACCCGUCUUGAAACACGGACCA